AUCUAGAGCCAUGCCACCCUGAACACACCCAAUCUCAUCUGAUCUCAGAAGCUAAGCAGGGUCGAGCCCAGUUAGUACUUGGAGGGGAGAAUGGGGAACCCAGAGCACUGCGGAAC
rnacentral:rRNA from 1 species